GUGAUGCUUUGGGUAAUCUCAGAGUUGAGGUUUUCCACUAGGGAAUCCGACGAGAUCGCGAGCUUCGUCAUUGAGGAUUUCUAUGCGGCUUGUGGUAAUUUGUGAUGGACUAGUUGGAGCAUCCCUGCAGGGUUAAAUCUUUCGGAAAGUCGUGCCCGCGGUUAUGUGGCAACGUGGAAGCUUUGUUUAACACUGGUUGUAGAUAACUUGAAGUUAACU
rnacentral:lncRNA from 1 species